UACGAAGGGGGGCUAGCGUUGCUCGGAAUUACUGGGCGUAAAGGGAGCGUAGGCGGAUAUUUAAGUCAGAGGUGAAAUCCCGGAGCUUAACUUCGGAACUGCCUUUGAUACUGGGUGUCUUGAGUGUGAGAGAGGUAUGUGGAACUCCGAGUGUAGAGGUGAAAUGCGUAGAUAUCGUAAGGAAGACCAGUGGCGAAGGCGGGGUCUCUGGACAGGUUCCUGACG
rnacentral:rRNA from 1 species